rnacentral:misc_RNA from 1 species
CGUUGAAAACGCGCACUUUGAACCUUUCCUUUCUUCUCCUUUCCUUCGUCUUCCCUUCUCCUUCUUCUUCUUCUUCUCGUCAUUUUGCCUUUGACACAAACUCCUUCCUCCCCUCCUCUCGAUCUCACCUCCCCCUUUCACUCAAGAGACCUCCCUAGCCCUGCUUUUCUUAGUGUUUCUUCGGAGUCCCAUCUCCCCACUGUUUGCUGCUUCAAACACAUUCUUUAGCCUUUGCCAUGGCUAGCCACAAUGCCCAUAGCAGCAAAUCUAAACUUUCAUGGUAGAACCUAGAAAAAUCUAAGUGACCAUACAAAACAAAAUUUACUCAAUUCUCUGGUGCUGUUGUUGGUCAGCUCACUGUCUAGAGGUCUCGAAAUUGGUCCUAGGUGUCGCAUCCUUGCCUGUUGCCUCCUCUCGCCGUCAUUGGGUGUUGAAGAUUUAAAUUUAAGGUUAUUCUUUGGGAUUUUGCUAGGUGUUGACAGUUGAAGAUUGAAAUUUAUUGUUAGACCGAAAUAUGUUUGUUGUUGACUGUGAAAUCUGGUUACUGAAGAUUAAUUUUUUUUUUUUCAAUUGAAUUUAUAGUUUUAUUGAAAAUUUUCAAUUGUUGAUUUUUUUUUUUUUUAAGAUUUGGCUGUUGUAUGUUGAUUUGAAGAUUGAAGGUUUUUUUUUUUUUAAUAUGAUUUGAAGAUUGAAGGGAUUUAUUGUGUUUCAGUUGACAACAGAAGCAAUUUAAUUUUAGAUUUCAUUUUCUACCUUGUGUUUGUUGAGGGAGAGGGAGAAGUAAAAACUGAUGAACAGAACUGAAAAUUUUCAGUUAGAUUCUCUAUACUCCAGUUCAAUUUCAAUAAUUUUAGAUCUUAAUUUUUCAGUUAGUUCAAUUCAAUUCGGUUCAAAACCAAACCAACUAAUUGCACAACCCUACUCUCGGCCAAUAAAUUUCUUAGCGAAGCACGGACAAAGUAAACCAGCUGAAGGAACCCAAUUCAGCUAACAUCAUUAGAUAACGCAAAAUGACCUUAGGGCAGUCAUCCUUGUGGUUCAUUCUGGCAAACUCACACUUUUAUAUCAUGACUCAUUUCUUUUGCUCCAAUAGCUUAAAUUCAGCUUUAUUGGUAGCAAUUGCAAAACAUAUUUGAACAGUCAUGAAUUUGCAAAAAUUAUAGGUGACUUGACUACAGUAGCACAUUCCCCAACAUCUAUUGUACUUCUAUUAAUAAUCUCCAUUCUUCUCUACUAACAUACCAACAAAUAUUUGAUAAUCAAGAAGUUGAUGACACUAAAACUGGGACUGAGUACACAUGUAGACUACAAAUUACUAGAUACAUCAAAAUUUUGAUUAAAUGGUCAAUUACCGUGACACCUUCCAUGAAUCCCUGGUCCUUUAGGACCCCCACGAGUCAUAAUGCAAUAGAAUAACAGUAAUCACAAACCAUACAGAGAAAAAUUAUAUUUGCUUAUACAUUCUGCAAUCAAUAAAAGAACAGCGCAAAUACUAUUCAGUAAUUUGGAAUUGUUCUUGAAGUCCAUAUAUGUCAAUCAAAAGAAACUUCUCACAAGGUCACUAUCUCAUGAGUAAGAGGUGAAGCACUAUCAGAAAACCGUAAUCUCAAUUUGACAUUCAAAAAGAAGAUCUUAAAUACAUUUAGCAUAAAAAGGAAUGCUUCAUGAAGCAAUAACUAAGCUCUUCAAACUCACUGCUCCAAUCUACUAACUGUUAAAUGACUGCAUAACAGUUCUAAAUACAAACGUAUCCAAAUAAAUAUAUUGAAUCCAUCUAAGAAAUAUAAAAAUUACCCGGCAAGCCCCUCUGCAUGGUAAAACGGAAGGAAAUAGAACAAUAUAGUCUACAACUGCAGCAUUUAACAUAUAUACAUAUAAAAGAAUAUAUAUUGCAAAUGUCCCCGAAAAAUAAAGAAAGGAAAAAAGAUCUCAAAAACAAGAGAAGAGAUCAAAUGGGUAUGUAUGUGAUUACAGAAAAAGCAGAACUUACUACUGAUGUAGGCAAUCAUUCAGUUCUUUAGCCUGUUUGCGACAAAGCCAAACAACAGAAAGGGUUCUUCCUGAGGCACAUUGCGCGUACUUAGAAGUAAAUUGGUCACAUUCUUUAAGUGCCUUCUGCUUCAUUUUGCUUCUUAACGCUUCUUCGACUUUCUUCUUCACGUGAUUUUCGCGUGCUUCCUGUAUGUAACCCAUUUCGAAGCCCUUCUCUUUCCCGUCUCUCCGUGACAAGAUCAGGAAACUAAUUCGAUGACCAUGGACUUUCAACGUCCUGUUG